UGGCAACGGUGGCACUGCCUGGGAGUGC
rnacentral:sRNA from 1 species